AGAGUUUGAUCAUGGCUCAGAACGAACGCUGGCGGCGUGCCUAAUACAUGCAAGUCGUACGAGAAAGUCCUGGCAACGGGACGAGUAAAGUGGCGAACGGGUGAGUAACACGUGGAUAAUCUUCCCCUCAAUCUGGGAUAAGCCGCCGAAAGGCGGUCUAAUACCGGAUGACACCACCGGGUGGCAUCACUUGGUGGUCAAAGGCGGGGCAACCUGCCGUUGAAGGAUGAGUCCGCGUCCCAUUAGCUUGUUGGCGAGGUAAAAGCUCACCAAGGCGACGAUGGGUAGCCGACCUGAGAGGGUGACCGGCCACACUGGGACUGAGAUACGGCCCAGACUCCUACGGGAGGCAGCAGUAGGGAAUUUUGCGCAAUGGGCGAAAGCCUGACGCAGCGACGCCGCGUGGGUGAUGAAGCUCUUCGGAGUGUAAAACCCUGUCAGUGGGGAAGAACCGUACCGGGAGUAACUGCCCGAUACUUGACGGUACCCACAGAGGAAGUCCCGGCUAACUCCGUGCCAGCAGCCGCGGUAAUACGGGGGGGA
rnacentral:rRNA from 1 species